UACGGGGGGAGCAAGCGUUGUUCGGAUUUACUGGGCGUAAAGGGCGCGUAGGCGGCCACCGCAAGUCGGUUGUGAAAUCUCCGGGCUUAACCCGGAACGGUCAAUCGAUACUGCGGGGCUAGAGUGCAGAAGGGGCAACUGGAAUUCUCGGUGUAGCGGUGAAAUGCGUAGAUAUCGAGAGGAACACCUGCGGCGAAGGCGGGUUGCUGGGCUGACACUGACGCUGAUGCGCGAAAGCCAGGGGAGCGAACGGG
rnacentral:rRNA from 1 species